UGUUAUCAGUCCAUACAAUGGGCGUUAUUAGCAGAAAUCAGUCCCAUAGAUAUGGGCCAUCCACCUGCUAGAUUGUUCAGAAGCUUGUUAUCAUCCAUCCAGAUGGAGGAUCAGUAACAGGAGCGUGGGAAGACUCCAGAAUCCACUCUGGCUGGAAUCCGGUGGAUACAGCAGUGUUACAGGUACAGUACGUGAUGUUAAGGGCAGGCGGUCAUCACCGGGGGAAGAAAAGAAGCAGACGUACUUCCAAGAGGGAGCUGCAGUGAGGACACAGCCUGGUCACUGAGGAGGCGCUGGAAGGUUUCCCUAAUAGUUCCUGGUGAAUCAAAGCAGAACCAUAAAGGUUGCUGGACUGCAUGAUGGCCUUACCCCUGAGCAGUCAUCCUGUUAAAGGAGGAACCAGUUAGAAGCUGUUUUCAAAGUAGCUGAGCAGAUUUCAUCUGAAGGAGCAGCAUAGUAUUCAAUAGGAGGACCCUGCACGUCAAUUCUCGACGCGAGGGGGGUACCCUGCGAGUCGAUAAGUGAAGCAGAGGGAGCCUGACCAUGCGUCACACAUUUGACGAGUUGGGAGUGAGAACGUGUUGGAUAAACC
ensembl:lncRNA